rnacentral:rRNA from 1 species
GAUGAACGCUGGCGGCGUGCUUAACACAUGCAAGUCGAACGGAAAGGCUCCUGCUUGCAGGGGUACUCGAGUGGCGAACGGGUGAGUAACACGUGGGUGAUCUGCCCUGCACUUCGGGAUAAGCCUGGGAAACUGGGUCUAAUACCGGAUAGGACGAUGGUUUGGAUGCCAUUGUGGAAAGUUUUUCGGUGUGGGAUGGGCUCGCGGCCUAUCAGCUUGUUGGUGGGGUAAUGGCCUACCAAGGCGUCGACGGGUAGCCGGCCUGAGAGGGUGUACGGCCACAUUGGGACUGAGAUACGGCCCAGACUCCUACGGGAGGCAGCAGUGGGGAAUAUUGCACAAUGGGCGCAAGCCUGAUGCAGCGACGCCGCGUGGGGGAUGACGGCCUUCGGGUUGUAAACUCCUUUCGCUAGGGACGAAGCGCAAGUGACGGUACCUGGAGAAGAAGCACCGGCUAACUACGUG